rnacentral:tRNA from 1 species
GUCUGGGUGGUGUAGUCAGUUAUCACCUUAGUCUCACACACUAAAGGUCCCCGGUUCAAGUCCGGGCUCAGACA